AACGUAGGACACAAGCGUUAUCCGGAGUUACUGGGCGUAAAGGGCGUGUAGGCGGACGUGUAAGUCUAUUCUGAAAGCUCCUGGCUAAACUGGGAGAGGCGAAUGGAGACUGCAUAUCUAGAGUGAGGAAGAGGAAAGUGGAAUUCCGCGUGUAGUGGUGAAAUGCGUAGAUAUCGUAAGGAAGACCAGUGGCGAAGGCGGGUCUCUGGACAGUUCCUGACGCUGA
rnacentral:rRNA from 1 species